CGAACGCUGGCGGCAGGCCUAACACAUGCAAGUCGAACGCCGUAGCAAUACGGAGUGGCAGACGGGUGAGUAACGCGUGGGAACAUGCCCUUUGGUUCGGAAUAACUCAGGGAAACUUGAGCUAAUACCGGAUAAGCCCGAGAGGGGAAAGAUUUAUCGCCGAAGGAUUGGCCCGCGUCCGAUUAGCUAGUUGGUGAGGUAACGGCUCACCAAGGCGACGAUCGGUAGCUGGUCUGAGAGGAUGAUCAGCCACACUGGGACUGAGACACGGCCCAGACUCCUACGGGAGGCAGCAGUGGGGAAUAUUGGACAAUGGGCGCAAGCCUGAUCCAGCCAUGCCGCGUGAGUGAUGAAGGCCCUAGGGUUGUAAAGCUCUUUCGCCAGGGACGAUAAUGACGGUACCUGGAUAAGAAGCCCCGGCUAACUUCGUGCCAGGAG
rnacentral:rRNA from 1 species